GCUCAGAUGGUCGAGUGGUUAAGACGUGAGAUUUAAGUCCUCAUUGCGAAAGCAAUCGUGGGUUCGAGUCCCACUCUGAGCA
rnacentral:tRNA from 1 species